rnacentral:rRNA from 1 species
GACGAACGCUGGCGGCGUGCCUAAUACAUGCAAGUAGAACGCACAGUUUAUACCGUAGCUUGCUACACCAUAGACUGUGAGUUGCGAACGGGUGAGUAACGCGUAGGUAACCUGCCUGGUAGCGGGGGAUAACUAUUGGAAACGAUAGCUAAUACCGCAUAAUAUUGAUUAUUGCAUGAUAAUUAAUUGAAAGGUGCAAUUGCACCACUACCAGAUGGACCUGCGUUGUAUUAGCUAGUAGGUGAGGUAACGGCUCACCUAGGCGACGCUACAUAGCCGACCUGAGAGGGUGAUCGGCCACACUGGGACUGAGACACGGCCCAGACUCCUACGGGAGGCAGCAGUAGGGAAUCUUCGGCAAUGGACGAAAGUCUGACCGAGCAACGCCGCGUGAGUGAAGAAGGUUUUCGGAUCGUAAAGCUCUGUUGUAAGAGAAGAACGGGUGUGAGAGUGGAAAGUUCACACUGUGACGGUAUCUUACCAGAAAGGGACGGCUAACUACGUG